rnacentral:rRNA from 1 species
AGCGAACGCUGGCGGCAGGCCUAACACAUGCAAGUCGAACGAAGCCUUCGGGCUUAGUGGCGGACGGGUGAGUAACACGUGGGAACGUACCUUUUGGUUCGGAACAACUCAGGGAAACUUGAGCUAAUACCGGAUGAGCCCUUAGGGGGAAAGAUUUAUCGCCGAAAGAGCGGCCCGCGUUAGAUUAGCUAGUUGGUGAGGUAAAGGCUCACCAAGGCAACGAUCUAUAGCUGGUCUGAGAGGAUGAUCAGCCACACUGGGACUGAGACACGGCCCAGACUCCUACGGGAGACAGCAGUGGGGAAUCUUGCGCAAUGGGCGAAAGCCUGACGCAGCCAUGCCGCGUGAAUGAUGAAGGUCUUAGGAUUGUAAAAUUCUUUUACCAGGGACGAUAAUGACGGUACCUGGAGAAAAAGCCCCGGCUAACUUCGUGCCAGCAGCCGCAGUAAUAC